UACGUAGGCAGCGAGCGUUGUUCGGAAUUACUGGGCGUAAAGAGUGUGUAGGCGGUGCUCUAAGUCUGUCGUGAAAUCUCCCGGCUUAACUGGGAGGGUGCGGCGGAGACUGGUGUGCUCGAGGGUGGGAGAGGUAAGCGGAAUUCCUGGUGUAGCGGUGAAAUGCGUAGAUAUCAGGAGGAACACCUGCGGUGUAGACAGCUUACUGGACCACUUCUGACGCUGAGACACGAAAGCGUGGGUAGCAAACAGG
rnacentral:rRNA from 1 species